CAGUAGGGAAUCUUCCGCAAUGGGCGCAAGCCUGACGGAGCAACGCCGCGUGAGUGAAGAAGGUCUUCGGAUUGUAAAGCUCUGUCUUUGGGGAAGAAAGUUAGCUGCAGUAACUAUCAGCUAAUUGACGGUACCCAAAAAGGAAGCCCUGGCUAACUACGUGCCAGCAGCCGCGGUAACACGUAGAGGGCAAGCGUUGUCCGGAAUCAUUGGGCGUACAGGGUACGCAGGCGGAUAUGCAAGUCAAAUGUGGAAGGUACCGGCUUAACCGGUAGAGUGCAUUUGAAACUGUAUAUCUUGAGUUCAGCAGAGGAGGGCGGAAUUCCUGGAGUAGCGGUGAAAUGCGUAGAUAUCAGGAAGAACACCAGUGGUGAAAACGGCUCUCUGGGCUGUAACUGACGCUGAGGUACGAAAGCUAGGGCAGCGAACGGGAUUAGAUACCCCGGUAGUCCUGGCUGUAAACGCUGGACACUAGGUGUUGGGGGUUCGAUUCCUUCAGUGCCGCAGUUAACGCAUUAAGUGUCCCGCCUGGGGAUUACGGUCGCAAGACUGAAACUCAAAGGAAUUGACGG
rnacentral:rRNA from 1 species